rnacentral:misc_RNA from 1 species
CAACAGCCCCCCUCGGAUCAUCGCUACUGCCAUUUGUCUAGAGGUAACUCAAAAAUUUCUCUCCUGUUAGAAAUAGAUUCUCUGUUUGGUUAUUGAGAAACUCAAAUUAGAGAAAAGAAUUUCGUGUUACAGAUUUUCUAGGAAAUGAAAUCUCACCUGCAAGAAGUUGUAUAUUAGGUCCAUAAGAGUAACAGUUCCGUGAAGCCCACUUUGAUCUUUGCAGAAACUAUUUAAAGAAGCACUAGAUCUUCAUGUUAUCUAUCCCAGAUUUGUUUAUGUUCUGUACGGUUUCUAUCUCAUGUUUAGAAUGUUCACUUUGUAGUUUCUCAACUGUAUUUUUUUUUUCCUGGGAGAUAUAAACUCAUUGCUCUCCGUGUCAACUCUGCUUGCUUUUUUUUCCAUUUUUUUAAAGCUUUUCAUUGGGAUCGGAGUUCUUGCUCUUCAUUUAUUGGGUGCAUUUUUUGUUGGAUUAGCUGAUGCAUCAAUAGAUUUAAUGAGAGUUGUCAGAUUAACGAUUAUAGAUCUUCGUUUCAAGUAACUGAGUCAUAAAAGAGACGACUAUGUUUCCUUGUAAUGGAGCCGCGGAAAAUGUUACAAUUGUGAUUGGGAUUUUGGAAUGGGGCAAUAUUUAAGAGCAAAUGAGCUGUUGUAUAAUUGAUUACUUUGAGUUAGUUGAAUCUACUUAAUGAUCACUGUGAUGCUGGCUUGAAUGAGUGCCCCUUAUGUUAAAUGAUAAGUGCAUGGCAAUUUUCUUGUAGGUAAUGUCUCCAAAUACAGGCCUCUUUGUGGGACCUAAUAAAGGUCAUGUUGUAACCAAGAAAGAAUUAGCCCCACGUCCUUCUGAUCGCAAAGGGAAAACCAGCAAAAGGGUCCACUUUGUGAGGAGUUUGAUCAGGGAAGUUGCUGGUUUUGCCCCAUAUGAGAAGAGGAUCACUGAGCUUCUGAAAGUUGGUAAGGACAAGCGAGCCUUGAAGUUAGCCAAGAGGAAGUUGGGCACGCAUAAAAGGGCCAAGAAGAAGCGUGAGGAGAUGUCCAAUGUUCUCCGCAAGAUGAGGGCUGCUGGAGGUGGUGAGAAAAAGAAGUGAGAAAACUCACUAAUUUGAAGUAGUUGGUUCCAUCUUUUAUAGAAGUUAGUAGCUGGAGGCCGUCUGCUAUGUUUUUGUUUAGACACUGAAGAUUCUGCUAAGAACUUUUUGUUUUAAUUGGAAGGAAUGAUGUCCUUUUAAUUUCAUUAUCCACAAUUUUUUCUUGUGCCAUUUGUUUUUGGAUGUGAAAAAUGUGUUGGGUGGCAGCUUUUUGUAUCCUUCCCCUGCGCUAGCCAUUGAAAUGGUAUUAGACGUUUGAUUGGCCGCAGUGCAAAUGCUUUUACUUUGCAAGUGCUUUACUGAAAAGGCGAAGUUUGUCCAGGGUCGUUGCUCCCGUCACUGAGGCCUUGUGUGAUUCCCGUUGUGCUAUCUGCCCAAGUUAUGGGUUAAUGUUUCCCGAUCUUCUCUCCACAAUUUAGUUUUGGACGUUCAGUCGGAUUGGGGAGAAUUAUUUUAUGUUUUGUGAUGAUUUUAAGAAUUAAUCGAAAAAUAAUCUUAUUAGAAAUUUUC